CCUACGGGUGGCAGCAGUGAGGAAUAUUGGUCAAUGGACGAGAGUCUGAACCAGCCAAGUAGCGUGAAGGAUGACUGCCCUAUGGGUUGUAAACUUCUUUUAUAUGGGAAUAAAAUGUUCCACGUAUGGGAUUAUGUAUGUACCAUAUGAAUAAGGAUCGGCUAACUCCGUUCCAGCAGCCGCGGUAAUACGGAGGAUCCGAGCGUUAUCCGGAUUUAUUGGGUUUAAAGGGAGCGUAGGUGGAUUGUUAAGUCAGUUUUGAAUGUUUGCGGCUCAACCGUACAAUUGCAGUUGAAACUGGCAGUCUUGAGUACAGUAGAGGUGGGCGGAAUUCGUGGUGUAGCGGUGAAAUGCUUAGAUAUCACGAAGAACUCCGAUUGCGAAGGCAGCUCACUGGACUGCAACUGACACUGAGGCUCGAAAGUGUGGGUAUCAAACAGGAUUAGAUACCCUAGUAGUC
rnacentral:rRNA from 1 species